ACGGGAGGCAGCAGUGAGGAAUAUUGGUCAAUGGGCGGAAGCCUGAACCAGCCAAGUCGCGUGAGGGAAGACGGCCCUACGGGUUGUAAACCUCUUCUGCGCGGGGGUAAAGUCGGGGACGGGUCCCCGAUUGCAAGUACCGCGCGAAAAAGGAUCGGCUAACUCCGUGCCAGCAGCCGCGGUAAUACGGAGGAUCCGAGUGUUAUCCGGAUUUAUUGGGUUUAAAGGGUGCGCAGGCGGGAUGUCAAGUCAGUGGUGAAAUGGUGCGGCUCAACCGUAGCAUUGCCGUUGAAACUGGCGUCCUUGAGUGCGAAUGAGGUACGCGGAACGUGUCAUGUAGCGGUGAAAUGCAUAGAUAUGGCGAAGAACUCCGAUUGCGUAGGCAGCUGACCAGGCCGUAAAUGACGCUCAUGCACGAAAGUGCGGGGAUCGAACAGGAUUAGAUACCCUGGUA
rnacentral:rRNA from 2 species